UCACGUAACCUCUGUCCAUCGAAGCAGAGUGUGAGCUCACACUGACCGCGACAGCUGCCUCGGCGCAGUCUGUUCCUACCACCACCCCAUAACCAUCUACAAUAUUUAUCUCUCCAAGGAGGAAAAGCUGUCUGAGGAUAACUAAUGGGAUAAGAGGCACCUUCUGCUUCCACAGCACAGCGACAGGGAAAGAACCCCAGUUCUGUCAACAAGAGCAUGUGCUGCUGGUUACAAAAAGCCACUGCAAACAACAUCAGGAGAUCUGUAACUCCGGAGCCUUGCAGCUGAAAACAAGCAAAAAACCAGCACAAAAGGCACAGGGCUAUUCGUCAGCUACAGGGACCUGUAAUUCUGAACGACAGCAAAAAUGUUCUGCAGUUUGAAAAUAACUUUGAUUUUUGAGAAAAACAGAAAUUUCACAAAGAGAAUGUUGUAAAGCACUUGGAUUUUUUUGGCAUUCACAGAAAGUAUUUCAACAUGAAGCCAGCCAGGUAAUAACUUAGAACCUUCCAGCACAUGACGGUUUUACGAAGAGCGCAUUGGAGGAGGUCGGACUGUCCCAGCCGGGAGGCCAGCUCUCCAGCCCAGGGGUGGGGGGCCUCACAGCUGCACCAGCCUCCCUGUAACCCGGGAGCUGCCAGGGGGACGGGGACACCCACUCCCUCUCCCGAGCUGUACGCCGCCCCCCAGAUGUGGCACUUUCCUGUCCGCCCAGGCGGCAGCCAGAGGAGCAGCUCAGUACAUGUAAAUCAAUCCAGAGAGCAGAGUGCACUUCAAAGGAACGGGAGAACAUUCCUGUGAAUUACCUCGGGAAGGCGAUGGGUCCCUGUAAAUAAAGCGGAGCACGUGGAAGAGCGAUGCGCCGGGGCAGAGCCCUCGGCGAGGCACUUUGCAAUCAGGCUGCCCAGCAAUCAGCCCAGCAUCAGCCCCGACACGGCACACGAGCAGGCACCGACUUGAUUGUGAUAAAUGGAAGCACUUUCAGCUAGGUAAGGUUUGCAUAAAAGUCCUGUUAAUGUAAUAUUUUAAAAAUAUUUCUUCUUCAACACUGCAAAUGUUACUAAGGGACAAAUUUAAAUAUUCAUCUUUAUCUUUCAAGCGUUAGAUGACUGACUUGGGACUCAGAGGGACGGAAUUACUGGCACUGCGUUUACAGAAAUGCAGCCUGCCCUGUAAGGGAGGGCAAGCCUGGCCCAGCCCUGGGAACCAGCUGCCUUCGCCCCCGCAGCGCAGCCACAGUGCCUUCUCAUUGCCCACGAGGUUUCCAAACUCCCUGCCUGCCGGAGCCGUGUCAAUGCGAAGGGGACGGCGACAGGCAGGAGGCUGGCACCAACCAGCCUGUAUUGUACAAGCAAGGAAUUUUUGUCAAAUACCACUAGGUGACAAUGGAUCUUCUUCUAGAAGAAGUUUCUAAUAAUGCAUUUCUAUUUCUGGAACAAAUGUCCUAACUGUUAUCCUUUAAACAGACAAAUUUUAAUUAAUUUUAAUUGCAAAUUAACAUGCAAAUUUAUUUUUCUUAUCUGCUCAAAAAUGACUACGAUACAAAUCAAUUGUCUGUAUAAAUUUAGAAAUCCUCUCUUGGUUUCUUCUUGCUUUUUUGUAUUAUUCCACAGACUACUAAAAAUAGCACUAACUCUGCUGGGAAAUACAGCCCGAGCUAACAGUUAGCGAAACACAAAGUGCUUUUGUUCACUUUUGGGCUGCAUAAAAUGAGCAAAACUAGUACAUCCAAACUCUAAAAAUCUAUUUUUAUUUCCUGUCUUUGGCCAAGUGUCAUCAGGUUUUUCUGUUAUAACCACUGCCUGAUGCUGAGAGCUGUUCCAGUGGUGGGAGCAACCUUGGCCACUGAACCACGAACCCCACCACUGCCUGUGACAGACCCACAGCUAAAGCAGAGGUCUCCAGUCUCGAUGAACCUCUGUGGAGGGGAAGAUCUCUCCCUUUACUCUUGAUAUAAAUAUUCCAGGCCAUUUCUUAAUUUCUGGGUGACAGCCAGUCAAAGAAAAUAAAACCAGCUCGCCAAACCCCAUCCCCAAUUCCCUUCUCUA